rnacentral:rRNA from 1 species
UGGGGGAAUAUUGGACAAUGGGCGCAAGCCUGAUCCAGCAAUGCCGCGUGUGUGAAGAAGGCCUUCGGGUUGUAAAGCACUUUUAUCAGGAGCGAAACGCUGUCGGCUAAUACCCGGCGGGAACUGACGGUACCUGAGGAAUAAGCACCGGCUAACUUCGUGCCAGCAGGCCGCGGUAAUACGAAGGUGGCAAGCGUUAAUCGGAAUUACUGGGCGUAAAGCGUGCGUAGGCGGUUCUAAGUCUGCUGUGAAAUCCCCGGGCUCAACCUGGGAAUGGCAGUGGAUACUGGGAGGCUAGAGUGUGUCAGAGGGUGGUGGAAUUCCCGGUGUAGCGGUGAAAUGCGUAGAGAUCGGGAGGAACAUCAGUGGCGAAGGCGGCCACCUGGGACAACACUGACGCUGAGGCACGAAAGCGUGGGGAGCAAAGCAGGAUUAGAUACCCUGGUAGUCCACGCCCUAAAGCGAUGCGAACUGGAUG